rnacentral:rRNA from 1 species
GAUGAACGCUAGCGGCAGGCCUAAUGCAUGCAAGUCGAACGGUGUCUUCAGACAUAGUGGCGCACGGGUGCGUAACACGUAUGCAACCUACCUUACAUUGGGGGAUAGCCUUUCGAAAGGGAGAUUAAUACCGCCUAAGACAGUAGCUGGGCAUCCAGCAGCUGUUAAAGAUUUAUCGAUGUAAGCUGGGCAUGCGUCCAAUUAGCUAGUUGGUGAGGUAACGGCUCACCAAGGCAAUGAGUGGUAAGGGAACUGAGAGGUCCAUCCCCCGCACUGGCACUGAGAUACGGGCCAGACUCCUACGGGAGGCAGCAGUAGGGAAUAUUGGGCAAUGGACGCAAGUCUGACCCAGCCAGGCCGCGUGCAGGAUGAAGGCGUUAUGCGUUGUAAACUGCUUUUAUACAGGAAGAAACGACUCUUGCGAGAGGCAUUGACGGUACUGUAUGAAUAAGCACCGGCUAACUCCGUGCCAGCAGCCGCAGUAAUAC